GGACCCGCACAAGCGGUGGAGCAUGUGGUUUAAUUCGAUGCAACGCGAAAAACCUUACCUACUCUUGACAUCCUUGGAAUCUCUUGUAAUGAGAGAGUGCCUUUUGGAACCAAGUGACAGGUGCUGCAUGGCUGUCGUCAGCUCGUGUCGUGAGAUGUUCCGUUAAGUCGGAUAACGAGCGCAACCCUUACCCUUAUUUGCCAGCGGUUCGGCCGGGAACUAUAAGGGGACUGCCGGUGAUAAACCGGAGGAAGGUGAGGACGACGUCAAGUCAUCAUGGCCCUUACGAGUAGGGCUACACACGUGCUACAAUGGGAAGUACAGAGGGACGCCAAAGCGCGAGCUGGAGCUAAUCUCAUAAAACUUUUCGUAGUCCGGAUUGCAGUCUGCAACUCGACUGCAUGAAGUUCGGAAUCGCUAGUAA
rnacentral:rRNA from 1 species